rnacentral:lncRNA from 1 species
CCCCUGCAAAAUCGAUACAUGUAUUCUCUCAUGCCGUCAUGGAAGUGAGAUUAUGUAGGAAGGAAUAAGGAUGAGACGAACUAAAGACAAUUGAAUCGGAUUAUGUCACAGUGAUUCUGUCCACUUGAGGUGGUGAUUUCGUGCGGUUGUGAGAGAGAGGGUUCUUACUUUGUCAUUAGCUCCUUGCGCCAUCCUAGGGGCGGUCCUCGCCUGCAUGACAUAGUGUUCAUAGGUAAAUACAUACUUAAAGACAAUUGAAUCGGAUUAUUUCACGGUGAUUCUGUCCACUUGAGGUGGUGAUUUUGUGGGGUUGUGAGAGAGAGGGAUCUUACUUUGUCAUUAGCUCCUUGCGCCGUCCCAGGGGCGGUCCUUGCCUGCAUGACAUAGUGUUCAUAGGUAAAUACAUAAUUAAAGAGAAUUGAAUCGGAUUAUGUCACAGUGAUUCUGUCCAUCGGAUUAUGUCAUGGUGAUUCUGUCCACUUGAGGUGGUGAUUUCGUGGGGUUGUGAGAGAGAGGGAUCUUACUUUGUCAUUAGCUCCUCGCAUUGUCCCAGGGGCAAUACUCACCUGCAUGACAUAGUGUUCAUAGGUAAAUACAUACUUAAAGACAAUUGAAUCGGAUUAUGUCAUGGUGAUUCUGUCCACUUGAGGUGGUGAUUUCAUGGGGUUGUGAGAGAGAGGGAUCUUACUUUGUCAUUAGCUCCUCGCACUGUCCCAGGGGCAAUACUCACCUGCAUGACAUAGUGUUUAUAGGUAAAUACAUACUUAAAGACAAUUGAAUCGGAUUAUGUCAUGGUAAUUCUGUCCACUUGAGGUGGUGAUUUCGUGCGGUUGUGAGAGAGAGAGGGAUCUUACUUUGUCAUUAGCUCUUCGUGCCGUCCCAGGGGCGAUUCUCACCUGCAUGACAUAGUGUUCAUAGGUAAAUAUAUACUUAAAGACAAUUGAAUCGGAUUAUGUCACGGUGAUUCUGUCUACUUGAGGUGGUGAUUUCGUGCGGUUGUGAGAGAGAGGGAUCUUACUUUGUCAUUAGCUCCUCGCACCGUCCCAGGGGCAAUACUCGCCUGCAUGACAUAGUGUUCAUAGGUAAAUAUAUACUUGAACUCGAGCGAUUACCUUUUUUUCCUGCUAAUAAAGAAUUAGGUUUUCUUUUCUUUUCUUUUUUUGGGGUAUGGCAGAGGCGAAUAUCAUGUCUGGGUUUUUUAAAACUCAUUCAGCUUUCGAAAAUCGCUUUACAAACCAUACAAUUAUCUUCCGGACCAACUUACGCGAAUCACGCCUAUACAUGUUGUCUAUGUAGUCGGGGUGCAAAUCUUUUUGAAGGAGAAGAUAGUGCUUUUGAUCUUGUCAUUAGUUCCAACUCGAUAAAAGUAAGGUGGACAUUCCUCGUUGGAGGUAUUUUUUUUGAAAAUGUAAAUUUUAGUAGAGUGUUGAAUUUUCUGCAUCAUAUAUCCUUAUGAAGAAUCAAGAUCGAACGUCUAUUUAGAUUAAUUUAAACUACAAUCUUUACCUCUUGACCGCGUACAUCAGUACUGGGUUUGUCUAUCAAUAG